rnacentral:rRNA from 1 species
UACAGAGGGUGCGAGCGUUGUCCGGAAUCACUGGGCGUAAAGGGCGCGUAGGUGGUGGCUUAAGCGUGCGGUGAAAGCUCGGAGCUCAACUCCGAGUCGGCCGUGCGAACUGGGCUCACUGGAGCAUAGUAGAGGCAGGUGGAAUUCCGGGUGUAGCGGUGGAAUGCGUAGAGAUCCGGAAGAACACCGGUGGCGAAGGCAGCCCCCUGGGCUUAAAUUGACGCUGAGGCACGAAAGCGUGGGGAGCAAACAGG